rnacentral:lncRNA from 1 species
GGGAGGGUGUGUACUGGGGCCUGUAUUCUACGCUGGGCAGAGUCCCAGCCACUCCUCAUGCAGCUUGUGAGGAAGCCUUUGGUGGUCAUCUUUUAACAGCUCAGUUCCCCAGAGAAGCUCCCUGGAAACCAGGAGGCUGACUUCUUCACCAACUGCAGAACCACCUGAGGCCACGUGGCAGAGCCCUGAGUGCCUUGCCUGGCUGUAAGAGGAAUACUUUCAUCACCAAGCCUAGGAGAGUGCCUUUGUCCAUCGAGGGUCCCCAUUGGGGUUAACUGGAGCCCUUGCAGAUCAAGGCUGCCUCUGCCUUCUGUGUUCCUGUCUGUGGCUGUGCUGUUGUCCCAGUCAUCACCGUAACCAGUGAUCCAGUUCUCACUCCCUCCUCCAGAGCAAGAUAAUAGCCUCAGAUGAAGAAAUUCUGGUUCUGAGCCCGAGAAUCUGAGACAGACUCAGAUCUAAAUCUUUUUAAAGCCUUCAAGGAGAUUAUGAUGCCCACGUGAGCUGGCUCAGAAGAAGAAUUUAUUUCAGGAAUGCCAAGAAUUUCUCAUGCUUGGUGGUAGGACAUUCCUUGAUAAUUUAGCCAGGUGAGAAGUUGUCAAAGAACUGCCAAACCCAUAAGGAUUCUUGUAGCUCACAGCCAGGAGGCUACCUUAUAUUUUGAAUUUAAGAUUAAGGGAAAAAAAAACACAAAAAACAUAUACAAUACAUUCUUGUUGUGGUCGAGCAUAAAGUAAUUAACUAUACAGAGAAAAACAUGAAAGUCUUUUCUGUUACGAAUUCCCUCUGUCCAAGAUUCAGGUCCAGUCCCCUCGGCUUGCUAGGCUCUGCCUGUUCCACAUCUAUGCAUUCCCCAUCUAUCUAAUGUAUAUUCAGACACAAAUGUAUAUACAUGAGAUCAAAUCAUAGAUAUUUUGAAGAUUUGCUUUCAUUCAUGUUUACCUCAGUCAUAACAUUAAAUCUUGGCUGUGUGAGCGACCUCGCCCAGCCAAAAGAUAACUUUUGAAAUAAAAUUCAUCAGUGCAAUAAAUCAAUUUUGUUAAACACAGAUUGACGUUUACAUAUUUAAACAUGAUGUAAAAGCAAUGCUAGCUUAUUUUAUCAGUAAAUAUGUAUAAGUUUAAGAAAAAAAUAUACAAGCAGAAUAAAAAUGUAUGCUUGCAUUAUACAAUAAUAUGGGUGUACAUUUCCAGAGUUCUUGUAUUCAUACACUGUAUAAGAAGAUGACAAACAAUUUUGCAAUGAAAAAUCUUGUUCAUACAUUUUUGGCAUGCAUCAGAAUAUAUCUGUAUUCCUGAGUCAAAGGGUUUGUGCAUUUGUGAUUUUGAUUGAUAAUGCCAAAUUGCCUUACAGAAGAAGUGACUUUAAUAUAUCCUCUCAUCCUCAGUGUAUAGAAAUGCUUUUUUCCUCACACAGCUCUAACAAGCAUGUCAUAAAACUCUUUUUUUUUUUUUGAGAUGGAGUUUCACUCUUGUUGCCCAGGCUGGAGUGCAAUGGCACAAUCUCAGCUCACCACAACCUCUGCCUCCCAGGUUCAAGCGAUUCUCCUGUCUCAGCCUCCCGAGUAGCUGGGAUUAGAGGCAUGCGCCACCAUGCCCGGCUAAUUUUGUAUUUUUAGUAGAAAUGGGGUUUCUCCAUGUUGGUCAGGCUGGUCUCAAACUCCCAAACUCAGAUGAUGCACCUGCCUUGGCCUCCCAAAGUGCUGGGAUUACAGGCAUGAGGUACCGCAUCCAGCCAUAAAACUCUUAAAUAUGUUCCUCAACACGAUAGGUGGAAAAUUGUUCCCUUAGUACAGUAUUUUUUUGUUUGUUUUUUGUUUGUUCAUUAGUUUUUGUUUGUUGUUGUUGUCUUUUUUUGUUUUGUUUUAGACAGAGUCUCACUUUAUCGCCAGGCGGGAGUGCAGUGGUGCAAUCUCGGCUCACUGCAACCUCCAGCUCCCUGGUUCAAGCGAUUGUCCUGCCUCGGCCUCCUGAGUAACUGAGAUUAUA